AAGGAGCCACAGUGUGGUUGAAUGCAUGUGCUUCUUGGGUGUAUAGGGCUGAAGUGUGGAUGCUGUGCUAUUGAUGGUACAGGCUUGAACUGGGAAAAUGGUGUUGUCAAGGAACAGCCUGCAUUGCCUUUUCUUGGCAUUGUUUCUGUGGGAAAGUGCUAAUGGACUUGGAGUCUGGCAGAAAAGACCUGCUAACUACUGGCAAAGUAGGGAUGGUUCUAAAGACCCUGGAGGCCAAGCUCUUUCUCCUGCCCAGCAAGACUUCAGCAGCUCUGCCAGUGGAGUACAGACUGCAGUGUAUGAUGUGGGUUCUGCUCAGCCUCUGAGUACUUCUGGUAGUGGAGGGUCUGCAACAACCUUUCUUGGAUUCCUCAGGCAGUACACAAUUUCCAGUGACCAGAAUGUCCCAAACCAGUACAGCCCCUUACCCCAGUCUCAGGGUGGCUACACAGCUCAACCUUCAGUUUCCUUAGGAAACCAACCUGCCCCUGGGUUUCAGAGUCAGCAACUGAGUGCUCCAGUGUUUCCAUCCCAAGGUUCAGCUAGCCAGUCUCUUGGCUCACAACAGAGCAGCUUGCAGUUAGCAUCUCCAGGUCCAGUAGUUUCUUCGCCACCUCUGCAAUUUGUAGUCCCUGGAACCCAGACACUGUCCCCAAGCCCAGGAACCUCAUCCCUGAGUUCAAUGAGUGCCUUUGCCACAACUUCUCAGCAAGGUAGCUAUGAUUCCCAGUCAGCAGCAAGUAGUCUUUAUGGUCAGCCCCCUAGCUGGUAUUCCCCAUCACAGGGUCAGAGCUCCCAAACCUCUUUCCAAUCUCAGACUUCCAUGUAUAAGCCUGUAACUCUAUCCCAGGCUUCAGCUAGCCAGUCUCCUUCCUUCCAGCAGGCCAGCUCUCAGUUGGCUUCUCCAAGCCUGAGCCUUACAACUAGCUAUGCCCCUGGAGCCCAGCCCUUAAGCCCAGGAACCUCUUCCCUGAGUUCAACAAGUACCUUUGCCACAACUCCUCAGCAAGCUACCUAUGAUUCCCAGACAGCAACAGGUAUGCUCCAUGGACUGGCCUCUAGUGUAAAUCCCUCCCAGUUUGCCAAAGCCCUAAACCAGUCUGCAGUAGUUGUAAUAGAUGCAUACACUGCAGGACCAGUUCAGUGGUACAGAAUAGAUCCUUUUAGACAAACUAUCCAAACCAGCAUGCCUCUGUCCCCAUCCCAGGCUUUAGGGAGUCAGGGUAGCCAGGCAGCAUCCAGCAGCUCACUUUCUACAUCCCAAAUUCAAAGCACCACAGGCCCUAUUGGGUUUGGCUUCCAAAGCCAGAGUGCUCCAGCUUCAACUGUAGCCUUGACCCAGGGUGCUGCCCAGCUUCCAUCCUUCCAAGCUCCCAGUGGGUUCUCCAGUACACCCUUUAGUGCUGCCAGCCCCUCAGCAUCUGUGUCCCAGCCAACCCAGGGCAUCCAAAGCUCAGCAACAUUGAGCUCUUCAAGUGUAUCUACAUCUCAAACCCAAAGCACCUCAGGCUCUUCUGGGUUUGGCUUCCAAAGCCAGAGCACUCCAGUUUCAACUGGAUUUCAGAGCCAACUAGUGAGUAGUCCAGUCUCCCCAGUCCAGGGUUCUGCUAGCCAGUCUCUUGCCUCACAACAGAGCAGCUUGCAGUUAGGAUCUUCAAGCCAGGCAACUUCUUCUCUGCCUCUUAGCUUUACAGCUGGCUAUGUCCCUGGAUCCCAGGCUCAGCCAUCAAGCUCUGCAACAUCAUCCCUCAGUUCAGCAAGUGCCACAAGCUCUCAGCAAGCUAGCUAUGGUUCUCAGUCUGUUACAGGUGCACAAUAUGGUCAGGGUAAAAUGUCCCCAUACAAGCCUUUGUCUGCAUCUCAGGGUUCAGCUCCCAUGUCAAUUGCCUCCCAGCAGGGCAGCUUGCAGUUAGCAUCUCCAAGCCUUAGCCUUACAACUAGCUAUGCCCCUGAAACCCAGUCCCAGCCCUUAAGCCCAGCGACCUCAUCCCUGAGUUCAGCAAGUCCCACAACCUCUCAGCAAACUAGCUAUGGUUCUCAGACAGCAGCAGGGUCUCUUGCCUCACAACAGAGCAGCUUGCAGUUUGGAUCUUCACAGCCUCUGAGCUUUACAGCCAGUUAUGCCCCUGAAACCCAGUCACAGCCCUCAAGCCCAGCAACCUCAUCCUUGAUUUCAGCAAGUCCCACAACAGCUCAGCAAACUAGCUCUGGUUCUCAGUCGGCAACAGGUACUCUCUAUGGUCAGCCCUCUAGCUUGUACUCGUCUUCACAGGGCCAGAAUAUCCAGGUUCCCACCCAGUCUGCAGAUGCCCCAUACAAGCCUGCAUUAGGUGCAUAUACUGCAGGACCUGCUCAGUGGUAUAGGUUUGAUCCUUUUGGACAGACUAGCCAAAUCAACAAGCCUUUUCCCCAAUCCCAGGCUUCAGGGAGUCAGGGUAGCCAGGCAACAUCAAGCAGCUCUACCACUACAUCUCAAACCCAAAGCACCACAGGCUCUGUGGGGUUUGGCUUCCAAAGCCAGAGUGCUCCAGCUCCAACUGUAGGCUUGACCCAGAGUGCUGCCCAGGCUCCAUCCUUCCAAGCUCCCAGUGGGUUCUCCAGUAUGUCCUUCAGUGCUUCCAGCCCCUCAGCCUCUGUGUCACAGCCAUCCCAGGGCAUCCAAAGCUCAGUAACUUGGACAUCCCCAGUUGUGUCUACAUCCUUUGGCCAGGAUAUCCCUGUAGCUAUAACCCAACAGUACUCCUGGGAUGCAUUGCAAGUCACAGGAGCUUCUUCCAGCUUACCAUCUCAAGUUCCAAGCACCUCACAGACCUCUGGCAACUAUGGUUCAGCAUUUCAAAGCAGUACAACCCAGGUAGGGAGCUUUGACCAGUAUAACCCAGCAAGCAGCACCUUCACGUCUGCUCAAGGCACCCCAAUCAGCUUUGGACUUGCGCAAGACUACGGCACCCUGUCUUUCAGUGCAUCUGGCCGACCCCAAACUGCUGUGAGCUCACCUCUCAACCAGGCAACUCCAGAAGCACAAAGUGGUUCCUCAGUUUAUGGGGAUUCUUUGAGCUUUUCUAGCUUUGAGAGGCCUGGCUCAACCAGCUUCAGCUUUGCUCAGGACCUAAACAGCCCUGUCUUUAAACCUGCCACCAAGAGAGGCCAGGACACUUCGGUCAAGCACUAAUUGUUUGCCAUGGUUGUGACCCUACCUUGCUGACUUUGAAUGGUUAAUAAACUCAGCUUUUUUUCUUACUCUGUUUCUGUG
ensembl:lncRNA